rnacentral:rRNA from 1 species
UCAGCCGCCGCGGUAAUACCAGCUCUCCGAGUGGUGUGGACGUUUAUUGGGCCUAAAGCAUCCGUAGCUGGCUGAACAAGUCCCCUGUUAAACCCACCGAUUUAAUCGUUGGCGUGCGGGGGAUACUGCUUGGCUAGGGGACGAGAGAGGCAGACGGUAUUCCCGGGGUAGGGGUGAAAUCCUAUAAUCCCGAGAAGACCACCAGUGGCGAAGGCUGUCUGCUAGAACGCGCCCGACGGUGAGGGAUGAAAGCUGGGGGAGCGAACCGGAUUAGAUACCCGGGUAGUCCCAGCUGUAAACGAUGCAGACUAGGUGUUUGGACGGCCACGUGCCGUUCUAGUGCCGCAGGGAAGCUGUUAAGUCUGCCGCCUGGGGAGUACGAUCGCAAGGUUGAAACUUAAAGGAAUUGGCGGGGGAGCACA